rnacentral:misc_RNA from 1 species
GAGCCGCAUCGUCGUCGGCUGCUUGAAGCCUCAGGAAGAUUGAGAAAGUGAACCUUGUUGUCAACGAAGUUGAAAAAACCACGUCGGUUCGUCUGGUUUUUUGGGAGCAUUAACCAUGGGAGCUGACAUGGUAGGUUUUUGGGAGUCGCCGGCGUUGAGGAACGCCAGCUGGGACAAACCGCCCGGAAAUGGAGGUAGUCACGGAGGUCAAUUAUCUUAUUCACGAUCGCGUCGAGAAGCUCCGGUGGAAGUUCCGACCAGUCAUGGUCAACCGACAUGGUUUUAGAUAAUACCAUUGAA